GUCGAGAAUCUUCCCCAAUGCACGAAAGUGUGAGGGAGCGACGCCGCGUGACUGAUGAAGCUCUUCGGAGUGUAAAGGUCUUUUAUCUGGGACGAACUAAUGACGGUACCAGAUGAAUAAGGGGCUGCUAAACUCGUGCCAGCAGCAGCGGUAAUACGAGUGCCCCGAGCGUUAUCCGGAUUAAUUGGGCGUAAAGCGUACGUAGGUCGUUUGCAAAGUCAGUGGUUAAAACCCAGAGCUCAACUCUGGACCAGCUUCUGAUACUGGCAAACUAGAGCCUGGAAGAGGCAAGCGGAAUUGCCGGUGUAGGGGUAAAAUCCGUUAAUAUCGGCAAGAACACCAAAUGCAAAGGCAGCUUGCUAGGACAGUGCUGACGCUAAUGUACGAAAGCGUGGGGAGCGAAUGGGAUUAGAUACCCCGGUAGUCC
rnacentral:rRNA from 1 species